rnacentral:lncRNA from 1 species
AUUUGGUUAUCCUUUCCUAAUUUUCUGGUUAUAUUUUUUUUUCCUUUGAAUUGCGUAUUAAAAAGUUAAGUCCUUUUAGCAAAACAAAUUUAUUAACCUGGUACAACAGUAGCUCGUAAAUUCAUAAUCGUUAAAAAUAAAACGUCAAAUAACAGCAUAAAUAAGACCAAAAAGGGUAUGCAAUGAUUACAUCUUUUAAUACCUUUCAGAGUGAUGGCCAGUCUUCAAAUCUUCACCCUUCUGGACGAGUUCAGGGUCUCUGGUCAAUUUACCAGCCAUUUUCUCCAUAUUACCCUUCAUUUUGUCACCCAUACUGACAUGCUCAUCCUCGGCCAACUGUGCAUUUCUUUGUGCAGUUGUACGAGCAUUACGGGUACCAGUUGCGGCACGGCGAUUAGCUUCAGCAGUGGUAUCAGUAGCAUAGGUACCUUUGCCAUAUCCCUCACCGCUGUAACCAGCAGAGGAAACAGCGCCUCUGGUCUUGUUAGCAGUAUUGUCGUUGCCAUAGGAGCCUCCACGAUGCUCAGUACCAUGAGAACCACCAUGGGUAUGGGAGCCAGAGCUUGAAUAAUCAUAGGCACCACCACCGACUGUGUCAGAAGGAGUUGCUUUUUGGCGACUGCCAUAGGUAUCAGUGGGGUAACUUUGACUGUAAUCUUCACCGUAGUCACCACCUUGGGUGGUUUUACGACUUUGGUUGUAUUGGCUUUGGCCGUAAGAUGCAGUAUCAUCUGUACGACUAGGGUCGGUGGUGUAACUACCUCCGCUGGUAGAGUAAUCCUCGUUGCGUCCGCCGGAAGAAUAACUGUCAUUGCCUCCUGUAGAGUACUUGUUAGAAGAGUAAGAAGAAUCAUCGUGUCUUCUCGAGUAAGAGGUAUCACCUCCACGGACAUCUGAUUGUUCCUUCUUACGUGACUCGACACUAUUGAAUCCCUUCUUAGUGUCGCUAGUCAUUCCAGCAUAAGGAUCCCCGGAUCCAAUGUCUGUUCCCAUGUCGUUAGCAGCACGACUAGAAUUGCUGGGAAUUUCAGAUGUGUAAGAGGUGUCAAAGUUGCGAUUUUGAGGGGCACCACUAGAAGAGAAGGGCUCAUCACUGUUGUGGACAGCACCAGCGCUUGAGCUGUAUUGCUUAGCAGAGUUCAUAGAAUCGUUUGCACGUUGUUGGUAAGACAUUUUAUGAAAAUAUUUGUAGUAUUGUAAGUAGAAUAAUAUUUACUUUUCAAGAUUCGAAUUUAUUUUGCGAAUAUCGAUGGAGGAAUAUCCCUAUUUAUAAAUAAAAAAACCUUUCUCCAUUUAUGAACUGUUGCAAAGCACUGACGAAUUUCUUCAUCAUGCAAUGUGCGUUUUCUUUAUUUGAUCGCCACUCUUGAAUUAAACCACGUACGACAACUUUCUUCACUUUGAUCUCUAAGUUCCCUCUGUUAACAAAUUGGCAUGAUCGAUUUCAGCCUGCUGAUAUCACUAUUUACAGAUCUUCCAAUACUAACCAUCUGCGUCAUACAUCACUAGCAUUUUGGUGGUGAACUUGGUUACAGUUCGAAGUGCGUAGCGAGAAAUGACGAAGUCAGUUAUUGUCAUAAUUAUGUAUGAAGCUUGUUGGGGAUUCCAUUUACAAAGUGUAUGUUUAGCGAAUGUAAACACGGGUUACCAGUAGAAAAAAAAAUUUUAUGAAAUUUCUUCAAUAAUGGUUUUUUUAUCUCCAUUCUAUUUCAUUAGAAAUUUUUUUUUUUGCUUUAUUUCCAUUCUUUGUUUUUAUUUUUUUUUUUAUUUUCAAUAUUACUAUAAAUUCUCAUUUUAUA